UGCGCCACGUAGGCUUUAUAAUUUUUAGGGUCAACAACUUUAUAUUCAAAUGUGGGCAUAGUUGUAUUGGUUAGAACGGAUUUGCUCUCCAUAUGCUCCUCCAUCUCUCAAUAGUUUAGUCUAGAUUCAAGUUGAAUAUUUUCCUUUCAACAAAUUUUGUGUUAAGCACAUCUUAGUAACAAUUAAUUACACAUUCUCAAGUUCUUAACUCUAAACCCUUGUUAUAUAAAUCGAGUUUCUCGGAAGUUUUACUUGUUUGGUGUUUUGUGAAAUUACAGAAACGCAAACGGUCUUCAAUCAAUCCCUCAGAUUGCUCAAUUGAAGAAAUUGGAUGAAUUGUUGGAUAACGGUAAAUCAUCAUCCACGGUGGUUGCAAUUUCGGGGUGGAUUUGCUCGGAAACCCCCCUGGAGUGCGAGUCUAAGGAUCUCAAAGGCCUACGAGGUGUAAUUGUGGCUAAAAAGGACGAUGGAACUUUUCGUGUGAAUGUAAGAGGAGCACAAGAUGCCUCGGGCUUUACAUUUCCGGCUUCAAGUUCAGUAUUUGAAGCAGCAAAAAGAUGUUACGAUUGCACGUCAAAAGAUGAUCCCAAAGCCCUCAAGAUCCUUGGAGUCGUACGAACGGAACUGGUACUUCCCGUGGGUACUCAUCUGAAUGUCAUUGGUGAGGCUGUCAGAGAUAGCACCGGUAACAUUGAGAUUCAGGCACCGAGCGAAGGGCCAUUUUAUGUCUCUCGCAACACCACCGUUGUUUCCCUUGUUGAAGACG